UCGUCGUCGUCGUCGUCAUCGUCGUCGUCGUCGUCGUCGUGGUCGUCGUCGUCGUCGCCGCCGUGGUCUUCGUCGUCGCCGCCGCUGUCGUCGUCUUCGCCCUCACGCACGCCGGGGUGGUGGCGGUGGCGGCGGCGGCGGCGGCGGCUUCGGCGGCGAC
rnacentral:sRNA from 1 species